GUUAUUACCAAAAUAGAAAAAGAAAAUACAGUCGACUUGCCCGUCUGGCGACAUCGAGAUUUAAAAUCGGAAAAGAGAGUUUUAUAGUCACGCUUUUACUGUUCACGUGUCUUCUUCUGUGUUCUUCUCUGGUGUCCCUGCAGAGAUGCUUGCAUCUACCCCUGGUGCUGAUCCUUUGUCCGGUUCAUCUGGUGGUGUAGUUGGCUCGUCCACUCCUCCGCUGAUCAGAUCUGCCUUUGGCGGUGGAUUUUUUGUUGAGCUGCACUGGGUUAAGUGCCACCAUACGCCACCUUUCCCUUUGAGUUGGACUGCUGUUGUUGUUCGUGCGGUCACUUGGUGUGGACCCGUCCACCGUGGCUCCGACCACUUCCUCUUUAACACCUUCAACCAAAGGUGUUCCGGUGGACCCGCUGGGGUGGUUUUCAACACGGGAGGAUCAGGAUGGGGGGCACCUGGACAAGAAAAAGCUGAUACAAUGGCAUUAACCGACUGAUAAUACGGGCGGUAACCAACAGCAGGAAGUACACAAAAAGGAUGCGAAGGACCGGGAAAUGGUCUGCCACAGAACACCAUGUGCUGUGGAGAGCUGUUCCGAAACGUCAAGAUGAAAGGGCUGGGAGUAAUCAGGGAGGGCUAAAGCAGCCGCCUCAGCCAUCUCUUGUUUCAGUCUGAUGAACCCCUCCUCCCCUUCUUGUGACCAUUCCAGUUCUGCAGUGACAUAGCAGUGCCUUUAGCUGUAAUCAUUCUUCCCAAGAAUGAUACCUGCGCUCUGCAACACUGGAGUUUUUCUUUAGAGACCUUAUAGCCACAACUAU